ensembl:lncRNA SNHG10 small nucleolar RNA host gene 10
GACUUUCCUCCUGUGAGCCAAUGAGGCCAGCUGGACUACGCCGAGACAACUGGGAGAGGCGCGGGACUCGCCCGUUCCGCGGAACGCCGGGAAGGGGUCACCUCCUGAUGAAGUUUCCGGUUCCGGUGUCAGCGGCGGUUGAAUUGCCAUGGCAAUGCGGUGGGCGCGCGCUUGUCGUGUUGGUCUCUUGGGAGGUAGCGGGGCUAGGCCGGGCGGGUAUCCGCCUCUCCCAGCUUAGAUUCAUUGAUUCCAGGUAAAUCAGAGGAACAAGCAACAUGAACAGAAAUAUGUAGAAAAAGCUAUUAUGCAGAAGCAUAAUUGUUGUUUCAGAAGUCCAGCAUCUGGUGCACUUAACAAUAGAGAAUAUAUUAAACUCUUUCCAAAAUAACCUGUUGUUCCUACCUGUGUUGUAAGUGUUUUGUUUGUUUUUAAGUAAAUAUUGGUGAUUUGUUGCCAAAAACCUAAACUGUUUGUUGCUGUCAACUUAAAUAACGAACAGAGAGAGGCUCUCUAAAAGAAAAUGGCAUUUAUUCAGGAAUAGAGCACUGCAAUGAGAAAAUGCAUGCGAUAGUUAACUGUGUGUAUCCUGGGAGAUAGAGGAAGACAAAGGUCUUUAAAGGAAAAAUGAGGAGGGUUACAUAAUUGUUUUGAGAUAAUUAUUUUUGACUACAAGGAUCAGUAACAAAGGUGACACCAGUCCCAGGUUGGACAGGCAGGUGCUCGGCAGGCAUUGCAGAAGUAUUUUUUGUGUAAGAUUGAGAUGGCCUUUGUGCAGGAUUGUGGUUUUGGAAUCUUCUGUGAUCGUUUUUGCUAUCAGGCAUUUAUGCUUGCGAACUCUUUAUGGCCUUCCCUGUGUCUAUUUUGAUUCCACCUUUCUCAUUGCCCACUCUAAACUGUAAUUCUGCUUUUAUGUUGACUGAGAUCAGGAGAAGAAUUUGCAAACUUAUAUCCUGAGACAGAACAGUAAUGAGGAGUAUCGUGUUCCUUACCUAAUGUAUAAUAUUGGGCUCAGAAGCAGUUGUCUUUUUUAUUUGUUGAACGUUGUAUUAAGUUGAGAAUGCAGCUGCCAUUAAAGAUU